GGCCGCUCGGCGAAUUGGUAUCGCAUCACUUUCCAGUACGGAAACUUGGUGAAGAUUGCGGGUUCGAGUCCCGUGGCGGUCG